rnacentral:lncRNA from 1 species
UGCGAAUCAUAUCAGCAGGAAAGGCCCUUGAAGGCUUGACGAACACAUACACAUAUUGAUCAAUGUGUCUAAACUUUAUAUUCUCACUUACCAUUUGUGCCCGACUGUUCGAAUCACUGUCUUAUUAAAAUCACAUCUGCCUGUAUAGACCCUCUCUCUUGGUAAUUGCCACAACCAUUUCACAAGUCCCUUGCUGUACACAAAAAUAUCAUCAUCCGUCUUCAGAAAAUAUUUAAAUUUGCAAUGUUGUUGAGACCAUUCUAGACCAAGUAUGGUUUUUAAUGUUAAAUUACCAUAACUAUCAACGAAUGAACCAAUUACUAGAUCAUUGUAAUAUUUCGAUUCAGUUGCUAUCAUACUCUGUGUUUUUUCAUUAGCUUGUCCAAGUAAAAACACUGUUUUAACCAGAUUAUCAUGCGUAGUGUAAAAUCCAUUAAUGACAAUAUUUGUUAUAUCAGGAUCAGUUUCUUUAAUUUCAGCCCAAGUACUACGUAUUAUAGACCUCUGUUCAAAGUUCGUCGGCGCAGAAACGACGACAAUGAG